AGAGUUUGAUCAUGGCUCAGAUUGAACGCUGGCGGCAGGCCUAACACAUGCAAGUCGAACGGUAACAGGAAGCAACUUGCUGCUUUGCUGACGAGUGGCGGACGGGUGAGUAAUGUCUGGGAAACUGCCUGAUGGAGGGGGAUAACUACUGGAAACGGUAGCUAAUACCGCAUAACGUCGCAAGACCAAAGAGGGGGACCUUCGGGCCUCUUGCCAUCGGAUGUGCCCAGAUGGGAUUAGCUUGUUGGUGGGGUAACGGCUCACCAAGGCGACGAUCCCUAGCUGGUCUGAGAGGAUGACCAGCCACACUGGAACUGAGACACGGUCCAGACUCCUACGGGAGGCAGCAGUGGGGAAUAUUGCACAAUGGGCGCAAGCCUGAUGCAGCCAUGCCGCGUGUAUGAAGAAGGCCUUCGGGUUGUAAAGUACUUUCAGCGGGGAGGAAGGGAGUAAAGUUAAUCCCUUUGCUCAUUGACGUUACCCGCAGAAGAAGCACCGGCUAACUCCGUGCCAGCAGCCGCGGUAAUACGGAGGGUGCAAGCGUUAAUCGGAAUUACUGGGCGUAAAGCGCACGCAGGCGGUUUGUUAAGUCAGAUGUGAAAUCCCCGGGCUCAACCUGGGAACUGCAUCUGAUACUGGCAAGCUUGAGUCUCGUAGA
rnacentral:rRNA from 1 species